rnacentral:lncRNA from 1 species
GGUUCGCCUACAUUUCAAAGAAAGAGGACGCAAAGUGCCACUCGUUCAGCCUUUAAAGAACAACUUCCCACAGGUUAUUUGAUGUGUUCGUGGUUUCAUUUCAACUAUGCUUAUUGCGUUAUGCUUCGUAUGUAAAAUAUUUUCGAGUGUGCUAUGCUUAGUAUUUGUCUUAAGUUCUUAUGUUUGCAUUGGUAUAAAGUAUAUAUGUUAUUGUUCAUGCAUGUUAUGUAAAAUAUUUUCGAGUGUGUCACUUGUUUAAUGAAUGUUAGAGUUGCCAUAUUCAUUUUAAAUAAUAUAUGAUCAUAGGGUUCGAACUUGUGGCCAUGGAUUAUAUAUGAUUCAUUUAAUAAUAUUAAUUACUACUUGGUGUAUAUGAAAAGAAAAAGAGCAAUGCGUGGAGAGGUCUGAAACUGAUAAGACAGAGGGUGAUACGUCUAGUAAGCGUAUAUGUUACACACGCGAAGAAGAAGGAAAGGAAGUAGCGGAGAUUGGUAAGAGUGAAUAUAUAUUCUAUAUUCGUUCAUAAUAUAAUCUAAUGACCAUAAACAUAAAUGUUCAUGACUUGUGCAUAUUUGGUGCAAGGAAAAUAUGAAAGCAAGAAGGCAUCGGUUGUUAAGAAGAAACGCAGGCUGGUACUCAUGAACCCAGAGGAUGUUCGGUGCAAACGUAGGGGGUGUAGGGAUAGUAAGCCAAAGGAAGUGGACAAUGUUGGCGACGAAGAGUUUCCCAAGCUCAACACAAGAACAACUCUCGCUGCUCUCAAUGAUAGCCUGAAAUUACUGAACCAU